rnacentral:rRNA from 1 species
GACGAACGCUGGCGGCGUGCCUAAUACAUGCAAGUAGAACGCUGAAGAGAGGAGCUUGCUCUUCUUGGAUGAGUUGCGAACGGGUGAGUAACGCGUAGGUAACCUGCCUGGUAGCGGGGGAUAACUAUUGGAAACGAUAGCUAAUACCGCAUAAAAUUGAUUAUUGCAUGAUAAUUAAUUGAAAGAUGCAAUUGCAUCACUACCAGAUGGACCUGCGUUGUAUUAGCUAGUUGGUGAGGUAACGGCUCACCAAGGCGACGAUACAUAGCCGACCUGAGAGGGUGAUCGGCCACACUGGGACUGAGACACGGCCCAGACUCCUACGGGAGGCAGCAGUAGGGAAUCUUCGGCAAUGGGGGGAACCCUGACCGAGCAACGCCGCGUGAGUGAAGAAGGUUUUCGGAUCGUAAAGCUCUGUUGUAAGAGAAGAACGGGUGUGAGAGUGGAAAGUUCACACUGUGACGGUAUCUUACCAGAAAGGGACGGCUAACUACGUGCCAGCAGCCGCGGUAAUACGUAGGUCCCGAGCGUUGUCCGGAUUUAUUGGGCGUAAAGCGAGCGCAGGCGGUUAGAUAAGUCUGAAGUUAAAGGCUGUGGCUUAACCAUAGUAUGCUUUGGAAACUGUUUAACUUGAGUGCAGAAGGGGAGAGUGGAAUUCCAUGUGUAGCGGUGAAAUGCGUAGAUAUAUGGAGGAACACCGGUGGCGAAAGCGGCUCUCUGGUCUGUAACUGACGCUGAGGCUCGAAAGCGUGGGGAGCAAACAGGAUUAGAUACCCUGGUAGUCCACGCCGUAAACGAUGAGUGCUAGGUGUUAGGCCCUUUCCGGGGCUUAGUGCCGCAGCUAACGCAUUAAGCACUCCGCCUGGGGAGUACGACCGCAAGGUUGAAACUCAAAGGAAUUGACGGGGGCCCGCACAAGCGGUGGAGCAUGUGGUUUAAUCCGAAGCAACGCGAAGAACCUUACCAGGUCUUGACAUCCCUCUGACCGCUCUAGAGAUAGAGUUUUCCUUCGGGACAGAGGUGACAGGUGGCGCAUGGUUGUCGUCAGCUCGUGUCGUGAGAUGUUGGGUUAAGUCCCGCAACGAGCGCAACCCCUAUUGUUAGUUGCCAUCAUUCAGUUGGGCACUCUAGCGAGACUGCCGGUAAUAAACCGGAGGAAGGUGGGGAUGACGUCAAAUCAUCAUGCCCCUUAUGACCUGGGCUACACACGUGCUACAAUGGCUGGUACAACGAGUCGCAAGCCGGUGACGGCAAGCUAAUCUCUGAAAGCCAGUCUCAGUUCGGAUUGUAGGCUGCAACUCGCCUACAUGAAGUCGGAAUCGCUAGUAAUCGCGGAUCAGCACGCCGCGGUGAAUACGUUCCCGGGCCU